rnacentral:rRNA from 1 species
GGGAUUGCCUCAGUAACGGCGAGUGAAGCGGCAACAGCUCAAAUUUGAAAUCUGGCCCUUUCGGGGUCCGAGUUGUAAUUUGUAGAGAGUGCUUCGGGUGAGACCGCGGUCUAAGUCCAUUGGAACAUGGCGUCAUAGAGGGUGAGAAUCCCGUAUGUGACUGUGGCUCGAGCCCAUGUGAAGCCUCUUCGACGAGUCGAGUUGUUUGGGAAUGCAGCUCAAAAUGGGUGGUAAAUUUCAUCUAAAGCUAAAUACUGGCUGGAGACCGAUAGCGCACAAGUAGAGUGAUCGAAAGAUGAAAAGCACUUUGGAAAGAGAGUCAAACAGUACGUGAAAUUGUUGAAAGGGAAGCGUUUGCAACCAGACCUGUCCGUAGGUGAUCAGCCGCUGUUUUCAGUGGUGCACUCGCUCUGCGAUCAGGCCAGCAUCGGUUCUGGCGGUCGGAUAAAGGCCUUGGGAAUGUAGCUCCCCUCGGGGAGUCUUAUAGCCCUCGGUGCAAUGCGGCCAGCCGGGACCGAGGACCGCGCUUCGGCUAGGAUGCUGGCGUAAUGGUUGUAAGCGACCCGUCUUGAAACACGGACCAAGGAGUCUAAAACUUAUGCGAGUGUUUGGGUGUUAAACCCAUGCGCGGAAUGAAAGUGAACGGAGGUGAGAACCCUUAAGGGCGCAUCAUCGACCGAUCCAGAUGUCUUCGGAUGGAUUUGAGUAUGAGCAUAAUUUUUGGGACCCGAAAGACAGUGAACUAUGCCUGAAUAGGGUGAAGCCAGAGGAAACUCUGGUGGAGGCUCGCAGCGGUUCUGACGUGCAAAUCGAUCGUCAAAUUUGGGUAUAGGGGCGAAAGACUAAUCGAACUGUCUAGUAGCUGGUUCCUGCCGAAGUU